GUAGCUCAGAGGAUAGAGCACUGGCCUCCGAAGCCAGGUGCGUGGGUUCGAGUCCCGCC
rnacentral:tRNA from 1 species